rnacentral:rRNA from 1 species
GAUGAACGCUAGCGGCAGGCUUAAUACAUGCAAGUCGUGGGGCAGCGCAGGUAGCAAUACUGGGCGGCGACCGGCAAACGGGUGCGGAACACGUACACAACCUUCCGAGAAGUGGGGAAUAGCCCAGAGAAAUUUGGAUUAAUACCCCGUAACAUAACGAUGUGGCAUCACAUUGUUAUUAUAGCUUCGGCGCUUCUUGAUGGGUGUGCGGCUGAUUAGAUAGUUGGCGGGGUAACGGCCCACCAAGUCUACGAUCAGUAGCUGAUGUGAGAGCAUGAUCAGCCACACGGGCACUGAGACACGGGCCCGACUCCUACGGGAGGCAGCAGUAAGGAAUAUUGGUCAAUGGACGCAAGUCUGAACCAGCCAUGCCGCGUGAAGGAUUAAGGUCCUCUGGAUUGUAAACUUCUUUUAUCUGGGACGAAAAAAGGCGAUUCUUCGUCACUUGACGGUACCAGAUGAAUAAGCACCGGCUAACUCCGUGCCAGCCGCCGCAGUAACAC